AUUCAAAUUCAAAACAUUAUUAUAUUUCUCCUCUCUUGCUCACUCUUUUUUUCUUUUUUUUUGAAGAUCAAGCCUUAUUAGUGUCCUGGCUGCAACUCCUCCUGUUUUUCUGUAUGCUUACAGUACGACUUCAAGAUUAAAAAUGGAUAAAAAACAAACAAACAAACAAAAGCCCCCUUCCCCCCGCUUUCAAUCUAUCAGGGAAAUUUAGUUUCCAAACUUCCUGCCUUCUCCUCCUCACUUAUACCUCAUUAAUGUGAUGCAAACAAACAUACAAAAAUACAAAUACUGUAUUAUUUUGUUUCUAGAUGAAGACACAGACAUUUGUAGCUACUCUUCCUCCUCUCAAACGCUCUUUCUGCUGUUUCAUUACUGUAGAAGUCCCUUGACAUUUUGACCAUUAUAAUGUAUUUUCAAAUUGUUCCAUAGCCAGCUUUUAAAAACUGUUUUAAUAAAUUAAUACAGUGAAAGUGGCUGUAAAUGUGAGGCAGGAUUAUAAAUUAGGUUACAAAGUAUGUUUUUCUGUUAAAAAAAGAAUCGCUUUUAUAAGCCUUAGUCUCACAAAAGUAUAGAUUCCUCUUCAGGUCACUGAUUUUAAAAUACUAACCUUCCUACUACGGGCAGGGGUUUGUUUGUUGGUUUUUAUUUUUUUAAAAAUUGAGCCGUUGCACUUUAUUAUAAGGUUAUGGAAUGUAUAACCCAGCCUCAAUUAGCCAUCAAAGAGGAUUCUUUAAAAUGAAGGAGUAAGAAGGUAUACUCCCCAUUAGCUUCACAUGUCAAGGCUAAGUAGUUUGGAUGGAUGGUGAAGAGAAUAUGCAGAAGUUUGUAAAUAUCCACACAGCUAUUAGUUAUGAUCUGUGGAAGAGUUGUGUCUCAGCAAGCUCAUAUGUGGAGCCAUGCAUCGCAAACAGAGUUCUACAAAGCAGUCCAGUCCCACUGAGCUCAGCUGGGCAAUGCCACCCCAGACCUCCCAGCUUGCUGCUUUCUCUGAUGUUUGGAGGGAUGGACAGCGUGGUACUGCCCAGCAAGCCCUCAGUUUCCUCUCCCUGUGCUGGCCUGUGAACUCAGCAGGAAGGCUGGAGAACACUUACUUUGUCAAAUAGCGUAACCUUGGCCAUAGCUUAGCUUUUAUUAAUUCUAUUAUGAGAUACGUCAUGCCUAUCCCCUUGUUGUUCGACCCAUUUGGAUUUCGAAUAAGCCUUUCUUAAACUAUGAUUAGAGAUCAUAGAAAACAGCUAAGUACAAAGUGAACUGACAUGACUGCAACUAAAUUUAAAUCUGGUGUAUGGAUUCCUUAAAAGUCUCAGGUGAAUAUUGGAGGAAUACUUGAAUCGUGCAAUGACUCCCAAAGUCAUCAGCUCCAAGACA
rnacentral:lncRNA from 1 species